AACAUCUUACUUACCAAAUUUCUUCCUUUUUUUAUAAAAAAAGUCAAUUUCUCAAUCUAUAAUCCGAAACCUCCAAUUCCUAAAGUACUGCAAAGGAAAAAUCUAUAUUAUUAUAAAGUAAAAUUUAAAACUUGUACCUUGUGCAUCAUGGCUUAGCAAGCUACGCCUAAUCAUAGCCUACCCCGAAAUCUUUACGAGCUGAUAAAAGUUUGUCUCAGAACCCAUUAUUGCAUGUUUCAAAAUGCUUAAAAAAACUUUAUCAGAGGCUACAUACCUACCGCGUAAGACUAUAGCUGGUUUUCCAAAAUCUUCACAUUAGUGAAACAAGAAUAAAUCUCUGAUAAAUAAUAAAGGAAAAGCUCUAUUAUUGUAGCUAAUUCCUAAAUCUACCUUCUAAAGUAAGCUUAGAAACUGCUAGCUUUUAAAUAACGUUAUAGUAUAAAUAUAACCUAAACAAAAUUCUACUAACUAUUGCCAAAAACCAUUGGAAAUCUUUUAUCAACUUCUUUAACUCUAUAAUCUGCUAAGAUUAGUAUCAAUACAAAUAAAAUAUACCUCUAAAAUUUCUUACAAUUCAAAACAAAAUCCCUUUAUUAUAAGGAACUCGGCAAACAUAAGCUCCGACUGUUUAACAAAAACAUUGCCUUUCGAUUUUACUAUGAAAGGUUCAUCCUGCCCAAUGACUUUUAGUUCAAUGGCCGCGGUAUCUUGACCGUGCAAAGGUAGCAUAAUCACUUGCCCCUUAAUUAGGGGCUGGCAUGAAAGGACACACGAAAGCUUCCCUGUCUCAUAAUAAUAAAUAAAAAUUAAUCUUUAAGUGAAAAAGCUUAAAUAAAAUUGCAGGACAAGAAGACCCCGUUGAGCUUUAUUCUCUAUAGAUCAACCUAAAUAUUUUCUAUAUCAUAAACCUAAAAAAGAAUUUAGUUGGGGUGACUAAGGAACAUCAUAAACUUCCUCUAUCUACUUAGGGCCAUUUCCCAAAAAAAUUGACCCACAAACCGUGAUCAAAAAAAUAAGCUACCACAGGGAUAACAGGCUAAUCUUUCUUAAGAGCCCAAAUUGUCAGAAAGGAUUGGCACCUCGAUGUUGGCUUAGGGGCCCCUAAUGGUGCAGAAGCCAUAAAAGGUAGGUUUGUUCAACCUUUAAAACCCUACAUGAGCUGAGUUCAGACCGGCGUAAGCCAGGUUAGUUUCUAUCCUCAACCUCAAUCUUUACAUAAUAGUACGAAAGGACCUUACUGUAAUAAAAACUUUAACCUAAAUGAAAUCAACUAAUCCCUCUUAAUAACCCAUCAAAAGAUAAAAUUUAA
rnacentral:rRNA from 1 species